GGCGGCCGUAGCGCGGUGGUCCCACCUGACCCCAUGCCGAACUCAGAAGUGAAACGCCGUAGCGCCGAUGGUAGUGUGGGGGCUCCCCAUGCGAGAGUAGGGAACUGCCAGGC
rnacentral:rRNA from 7 species